CCUACGGGAGGCAGCAGUGGGGAAUAUUGGGCAAUGGGCGCAAGCCUGACCCAGCAACGCCGCGUGAAGGAAGAAGGCCUUCGGGUUGUAAACUUCUUUUGUCAGGGACGAAGAAAGUGACGGUACCUGACUCAUAAGCCACGGCUAACUACGUGCCAGCAGCCGCGGUAAUACGUAGGUGGCAAGCGUUAUCCGGAUUUACUGGGUGUAAAGGGCGUGUAGGCGGGAGAGCAAGUCAGACGUGAAAUUCCAGGGCUCAACCCUGGAACUGCGUUUGAAACUGUUCGUCUGGAGUGAUGGAGAGGCAGGCGGAAUUCCGUGUGUAGCGGUGAAAUGCGUAGAUAUACGGAGGAACACCAGUGGCGAAGGCGGCCUGCUGGACAGUAACUGACGCUGAGGCGCGAAAGCGUGGGGAGCAAACAGGAUUAGAUACCCGGGUAGUC
rnacentral:rRNA from 1 species